UACGGAGGAUGCAAGCGUUAUCCGGAAUGAUUGGGCGUAAAGCGUCCGCAGGUGGCUGUGUAAGUCUGCUGUUAAAGAGUGAGGCUCAACCUCAUAAAAGCAGUGGAAACUACACAGCUAGAGUGCUGUAGGGGAGACUGGAAUUCCUGGUGUAGCGGUGAAAUGCGUAGAGAUCGGGAAGAACAUCGGUGGCGAAAGCGCUCUGCUGGACUGCAACUGACACUCAGGGACGAAAGCUAGGGGAGCGAACGGG
rnacentral:rRNA from 1 species